GCGGGUGUAGCUCAACUGGCUAGAGCGUCACGUUGCCAACGUGAAGGUUGUGGGUUCAAUUCCCAUCGCCCGCU
rnacentral:tRNA from 1 species